GUGUGUGCAGAUGAUCCAAUGCACCAUCCUUUACCCCAUGGAUCCCCAGGGUUGAUUCAGCUGACCUGAUUGGCUAGGCUGGUGUCCCCUUCCUUCCUCACUGCUCCCUGUGCAUCACCCCGCAAAGCUGCACUUUCCCAAAUAGAGGAGGAUCAGUCUUCGGUCAAGGGUAUCCAAGCAGCUGUGCUCUCCUGCUAGAACCGCCAAACAAGCUCUCAAUGAAGGAGAGUCAUUGGCCAACAUAAUGAAAAAUGUUCACCACCUCGAGCCAU
rnacentral:snRNA from 1 species